GACGAAGGAUGCAAGCGUUAUCCGGAUUCAUUGGGUUUAAAGGGAGCGUAGGUGGACUGGUAAGUCAGUGGUGAAAUCUCCGAGCUUAACUCGGAAAUUGCCAUUGAUACUGUCGGUCUUGAGUAUAGUUGCCGUUGGCGGAAUAUGACACGUAGUGGUGAAAUACAUAGAGAUGUCAUAGAGCACCGAUUGCGAAGGCAGCUGACGAAACUAUAACUGACACUGAGGCUCGAAAGUGUGGGGAUCAAACAGG
rnacentral:rRNA from 1 species